UGGGGAAUAUUGCACAAUGGGCGAAAGCCUGAUGCAGCGACGCCGCGUGAGGGAUGACGGCCUUCGGGUUGUAAACCUCUUUCAGCAGGGACGAAGCGCAAGUGACGGUACCUGCAGAAGAAGCACCGGCUAACUACGUGCCAGCAGCCGCGGUAAUACGUUGGGUGCAAGCGUUGUCCGGAAUUACUGGGCGUAAAGAGUUCGUAGGCGGUUUGUCGCGUCGUUUGUGAAAACCAGCAGCUCAACUGCUGGCUUGCAGGCGAUACGGGCAGACUUGAGUACUGCAGGGGAGACUGGAAUUCCUGGUGUAGCGGUGAAAUGCGCAGAUAUCAGGAGGAACACCGGUGGCGAAGGCGGGUCUCUGGGCAGUAACUGACGCUGAGUAACGAAAGCGUGGGUAGCGAACAGG
rnacentral:rRNA from 1 species